CAACCCUCAAGCAUUGCUUGGUAUUGGGCUCCGCUGCUCACCCAGCGGGCCUUAAAAUCAGUGGCGGUGCCGUCAGGCCCUGAGCGUAGUAAAUAUCCUCGCUAUAGGGACCUGGUGGACGCUGGCCAACAACCCCCAUUUUCAA
rnacentral:misc_RNA from 1 species